rnacentral:rRNA from 1 species
CCUACGGGAGGCAGCAGUGGGGAAUCUUAGACAAUGGGGGCAACCCUGAUCUAGCCAUGCCGCGUGAGUGAUGAAGGCCCUAGGGUUGUAAAGCUCUUUCACCGAUGAAGAUAAUGACGGUAGUCGGAGAAGAAGCCCCGGCUAACUUCGUGCCAGCAGCCGCGGUAAU